GGGGGCGACUGGUUUCGACAGGGUAGGUCUGAGAUGGGAAGCAAGCCGUGGUCGCCUCUCCACGCUAAUCAGGGACACCGUCAAAUUUAAUUGACAACACUGAUUCUUACGAGCCUCUGGCUCUUGCUGCUUAGUUAACCUAACCAGCACGUCAAUCCGUCGGUCUCCCCUGCCGGCGGUGCGGCGUCAUCUCAGGGGGAUGCGCGUGCGGACGUAGCCGGUAUGCCGCACGCCAAGGCCGAACCGGCUCGGACGCCGAACGCGGGUCACCGGGUGCGAGGCGUCCUAGACCCAACCGGUGACUGAGCUUGGAGAAACCCGUCAGGGACCUGCCUUGGACCGGAGUUCGAUUCUCCGCGCCUCCACCA
rnacentral:tmRNA from 1 species